rnacentral:rRNA from 1 species
CAUAUACGACCCGAGCGGGCAUCCGCAUCGGGUGGAAAGUUUUUCGGUAAGGGAUGGACUCGCGGCCUAUCAGCUUGUUGGUGGGGUAAUGGCCUACCAAGGCGACGACGGGUAGCCGGCCUGAGAGGGCGACCGGCCACACUGGGACUGAGACACGGCCCAGACUCCUACGGGAGGCAGCAGUGGGGAAUAUUGCACAAUGGGCGAAAGCCUGAUGCAGCGACGCCGCGUGAGGGAUGACGGCCUUCGGGUUGUAAACCUCUUUCAGCUCUGAAGAAGCGAAAGUGACGGUAGGAGCAGAAGAAGCACCGGCUAACUACGUGCCAGCAGCCGCGGUAAUACGUAGGGUGCGAGCGUUGUCCGGAAUUAUUGGGCGUAAAGAGCUUGUAGGCGGUCUGUCACGUCUGCUGUGAAAACUCAGGGCUUAACCCUGAGCCUGCAGUGGGUACGGGCAAACUAGAGUGUGGUAGGGGAGACUGGAAUUCCUGGUGUAGCGGUGGAAUGCGCAGAUAUCAGGAGGAACACCGAUGGCGAAGGCAGGUCUCUGGGCCAUAACUGACGCUGAGAAGCGAAAGCGUGGGGAGCGAACAGGAUUAGAUACCCUGGUAGUCCACGCCGUAAACGUUGGGCGCUAGGUGUGGGACUCAUUCCACGAGUUCCGUGCCGCAGCUAACGCAUUAAGCGCCCCGCCUGGGGAGUACGGCCGCAAGGCUAAAACUCAAAGGAAUUGGGGGGCCCGCACAAGCGGCGGAGCAUGCGGAUAAAUUCGAUGCAACGCGAAGAACCUUACCAAGGCUUGACAUAUACCGGAAACACCUAGAGAUAGGUGCCCCGCAAGGUCGGUAUACAGGUGGUGCAUGGUUGUCGUCAGCUCGUGUCGUGAGAUGUUGGGUUAAGUCCCGCAACGAGCGCAACCCUCGUUCUAUGUUGCCAGCGCGUAAUGGCGGGGACUCAUAGGAGACUGCCGGGGUCAACUCGGAGGAAGGUGGGGAUGACGUCAAAUCAUCAUGCCCCUUAAGUCUUGGGCUUCACGCAUGCUACAAUGGCCAGUACAGAGGGCUGCGAUACCGCAAGGUGGAGCGAAUCAAAAAAAACUGGUCUCAGUUCGGAUUGGGGUCCGCAACUCGACCCCAUGAAGUCGGAGUCGCUAGUAAUCGCAGAUCAGCAACGCUGCGGUGAAUACGUUCCCGGGCCUUGUACAC